CGGGGUGUGGCGCAGGCUGGUAGCGCGCUCGGUUCGGGACCGAGAGGUCGGAGGUUCGAAUCCUCUCACCCCGA
rnacentral:tRNA from 1 species